rnacentral:snRNA from 1 species
GUGCUUGCUUCUGCAGCAUAUAUACUAAAAUUGGAACAAUAUAGAGAAGAUUAGCAUGGCCCCAGGAUGACAUGCAAAUUCAAGAAGCGUUCCAUAUUUUU